AUUGAACGCUGGCGGCAUGCUUUACACAUGCAAGUCGAACGGCAGCGCGGGGCAACCUGGCGGCGAGUGGCGCACGGGGGAGUAAUAUAUCGGAACGUACCCAGAAGUGGGGGAUAACGUAGCGAAAGUUACGCUAAUACCGCAUACGAUCUACGGAUGAAAGUAGGGGACCGCAAGGCCUUAUGCUCUUGGAGCGGCCGAUAUCUGAUUAGCUAGUUGGUGAGGUAAAGGCUCACCAAGGCGACGAUCAGUAGCUGGUCUGAGAGGACGACCAGCCACACUGGAACUGAGACACGGUCCAGACUCCUACGGGAGGCAGCAGUGGGGAAUUUUGGACAAUGGGCGCAAGCCUGAUCCAGCAAUGCCGCGUGAGUGAAGAAGGCCUUCGGGUUGUAAAGCUCUUUUGUCAGGGAAGAAACGGUAGAGGCUAAUAUCCUGUGCUAAUGACGGUACCUGAAGAAUAAGCACCGGCUAACUACGUG
rnacentral:rRNA from 1 species